rnacentral:rRNA from 1 species
GUGGGGAAUCUUGCGCAAUGGGCGAAAGCCUGACGCAGCCAUGCCGCGUGAAUGAUGAAGGUCUUAGGAUUGUAAAAUUCUUUCACUGGGGACGAUAAUGACGGUACCCGGAGAAGAAGCUCCGGCUAACUUCGUGCCAGCAGCCGCGGUAAUACGAAGGGGGCUAGCGUUGCUCGGAAUUACUGGGCGUAAAGGGCGCGUAGGCGGACAGCUUAGUCAGAGGUGAAAGCCCAGGGCUCAACCUUGGAAUUGCCUUUGAUACUGGCUGUCUUGAGUUUGGGAGAGGUGAGUGGAACUCCGAGUGUAGAGGUGAAAUUCGUAGAUAUUCGGAAGAACACCAGUGGCGAAGGCGACUCACUGGCCCAAUACUGACGCUGAGGCGCGAAAGCGUGUGGAGCAAACAGGAUUAGAUACCCGAGUAGUCC